rnacentral:rRNA from 1 species
ACGGAGGGUGCAAGCGUUAUUCGGAAUUACUGGGCGUAAAGGGGGGGAAGGGGGGGGGGCAAGUCGGAUGUGAAAGCCCGGGGCUUAACCCCGGAGGGGCAUUGGAAACUGCUUUUCUUGAGUUCUGGAGAGGAAGGGAGAAUUCCCGGUGUAGAGGUGAAAUUCGUAGAGAUCGGGAGGAACAUCAGUGGCGAAGGCGCCCUUCUGGACAGCAACUGACGCUGAGACGCGAAAGCGUGGGGAGCAAACAG